AUACGGAGGGUGCAAACGUUGCUCGGAAUCAUUGGGCGUAAAGCGCACGUAGGCGGCGGGGUAUGUCGGGUGUGAAAGCCCUCGGCUUAACCGAGGAAGUGCAUCCGAAACUGCCUGGCUUGAGUAUGGGAGAGGGUAGCGGAAUUCCCGGUGUAGAGGUGAAAUUCGUAGAUAUCGGGAGGAACACCAGUGGCGAAGGCGGCUACCUGGACCAAUACUGACGCUGAGGUGCGAAAGCGUGGGGAGCAAACAGGAUUAGAAACCCCAGUAGUCC
rnacentral:rRNA from 1 species